rnacentral:rRNA from 1 species
GACGAACGCUGGCGGCGUGCUUAACACAUGCAAGUCGAACGCUGAAGCUUGGUGCUUGCACUGGGUGGAUGAGUGGCGAACGGGUGAGUAAUACGUGAGUAACCUGCCCUUGACUCUGGGAUAAGCCUGGGAAACUGGGUCUAAUACUGGAUACGACAUGUCACCGCAUGGUGGUGUGUGGAAAGGGUUUUACUGGUUUUGGAUGGGCUCACGGCCUAUCAGCUUGUUGGUGGGGUAAUGGCUCACCAAGGCGACGACGGGUAGCCGGCCUGAGAGGGUGACCGGGCACAAUGGGACUGAGGCACGGACCAGACGGCUACGGGAGGCAACGGGGGGGAAUAUUGCAGAAUGGGGCGGAGCCUGAUGCAACGGCGCCGGGUGAGGGAUGACGGCCUUCGGGUUGUAAACCUCUUUCAGCACGGAAGAAGCGAAAGUGACGGUACGUGAAGAAGAAGCGCCGGCUAACUACGUG